rnacentral:rRNA from 1 species
UAAACUGAAGAGUUUGAUCAUGGCUCAGAUUGAACGCUGGCGGCAGGCUUAACACAUGCAAGUCGAGCGGGGAAGUGUAGCUUGCUACAUUACCUAGCGGCGGACGGGUGAGUAAUGCUUAGGAAUCUGCCUAUUAGUGGGGGACAACAUUCCGAAAGGAAUGCUAAUACCGCAUACGUCCUACGGGAGAAAGCAGGGGAUCUUCGGACCUUGCGCUA